rnacentral:rRNA from 1 species
GCUACCACGCGAGUGGAUGCCAAUCCCUAAAACCCCUCUCAGUUCGGACUGGAGUCUGCAACCCGACUCCACGAAGCUGGAUUCGCUAGUAAUCGCGCAUCAGCCACGGCGCGGUGAAUACGUUCCCGGGCUUGUACACACCGCCCGUCAAGCCAUGGGAGCCGGGGUACCUGAAGUACGUAACCGCAAGGAUCGUCCUAGGGUAAAACUGGUAAUUGGGGCUAAGUCGUAACAAGGUAAC